CCCGGCAGGCGGGCGGUGUGCGGCUACAGUGUAGCAAAAACCCGGAGCAGUGGCAGCGAGACGGCGGGCCCGGGCAGCCGCGGCCUGGCUCCCGAGCACGGCCGGGAGAGACUCCCCUGGAGGAGGAGAGGGCCCGGGAUCCAGGGCUUUCCCUUGAGACACCCGAGCAGACGGUGAAGGGUCCUUUUUUAGCUGAGGUCGGGUGUUGAUAAGGCUCCAGUGCAACAGCCGCUCCCACGAGCACAGCUUGGCUCCGGGAAGGAGAAGGCAGCAGGAGACGGAGCCUCGCAGCGCUGGCGAACUCUCCCCACAGUGAGCGCAGCCGGCUUCCCCUCCGACACCGAGAGAGCGAGAGCGGGGAGCUGCACCCGAUCCACUUCCCCCAGCCAAAUCUCGCCUAUCUCUGCCCCUCCGAGAGAGAGCCCUCAGAUAAGAGAGUAGCCAGCUUCACCCUUCCCGCGGCAACUUCUUUUGUCGCUCUCAAGUACUGGUCGUUACGGUUUCUUAGCGACAGAUGGGACGAAAUUCCAUUAUAGAAAGAAACACAAGGAAAAAUCGUAAACCCCCAAAACAAGCUCUAUGCAGUAGUGUUUCUGUUACUGCUGUGGUUCUCUUUUUCCUGCCCAUCUCGGGAGCAAGGCUGGCGAGUGAUGUGCAGCCAGGAGCCAUGGCUGUGAAUAACUAGAAAAUUCCUGGGAGGAAAGCUGUGGACCUGAUCCUGCAGAUGCUGUGGGAUGUGUGUUUGCAGUGAUGCAGGCUGAGCUGGCUGAGUAACACUGAACAUCUGCCUUAAGGCAAGUCACCUGGCCCAGCUCUUGAAACCACCAGCUUCAUUGGCAGCAAAUGAAAUCCUUGGCUGAAGAGAGAAAUUGAGGACUUAAAACUGUCUGUGCAGGAAGCAGGGUAUUAGCUAAACUGUCUUUUAGAAGGACUGACGACCAUCUGAAAGAAAAAGAGACUACUGUGGAGCUUAUUUAAGAUAGGCUGACCAGAGAAACUGUCCCUGAAGCCAUGCCAGAGAGAGGAAGAUGGAUGCAGGGCCCUGGGGCUGUAUCCAGCUCAGGGAGCACGGGGUCACAGGGCCUGCCUAAAGGAUGGGUGAAGAAUCUGCUGAUGAGGACUCUAAUCAGUUUCGAGAGCAGGUAAUUUCUCAGCUAGAGAUCAUCUUCAAACAGGAAAUCAGGUUCAGGAGGUAUCUGCUUUAUGCAGCACAUCAUGGUGGACUCAUGCAAAGCUUGUGGUAAUAAGCAGAAUUGGAAUAAGAAGAUCGUUAUUAACAUUAUGCAUUAAUUAUUUUACAAUCCUCCUACCAGGUGCACUUUCUUAUCUCACUCAUCUCUAGUAUUAAUGAAACAGGAAUAAUUCUAGACCCAAUCUUGGCAUCUGAGCAGGUUGUUUUGGGUGAUGUUUCUCCUUUCUGAAACUGGAGGAAAGAUGUUCCCUGCCUUCAUUGUGCGUUUAGAGUUUGGCAGCAUGCCUGGGAUCGUAGUAAGACACAAAAGCAUCUGAAGGAAGUGGCCACUGGAUGGAGCCUUAAAGGUCAUAACAAUUGCCGGCUCUGGUACAGAUGGUGCUCACUGAUGAAAAACACCAAGCAGGAAAGCAGCGAACUCAGGGCUGCAGGAU